AUGAACUGCACUGUUAAUGAUGUGCUAGUCGGAGUCACUUCUGCUGCUCUAUCACAAUAUUACUUUCGUAAGUCUGGUUACCCUAAGACACGCAAACUAUGUUUGCGAUGUGUCCUCCCUGUAAAUACAAGGCCAACAGCUAGCCUACAAACAUAUGUUAAUAUGAUAGAAUCGGGUAAAAGUAAUGAUGUGGCAUGGGGAAAUCAAAUAGGCUACAUCCUCCUUCCAUUUCAAUUAGUGGUACACGAUGAUCCACUUGCAUAUGUUCGGAAGGCAAAGAAGACCUUGGAUAGAAAAAAGAGCUCACUUGAAGUUAUCUUCACGUGUAAGAUUAGCGAGCUUUUUGUCAAAAUGUUUGGCCUGAAGGCAGGUGCUUUUAUCAUCGGUCGUAUGCUCACGAAUACAACUACUACGUUCUCGAACAUGGUUGGACCAACAGAGCAAGUAGAGUUCUAUGGACACCCAUUUGUCUCCAUUGCACCUACCGUUUAUGGUAUUCCACAAGCUUUAGUUGUACACUAUCAGAGUUACAAUAGCACUAUUAAGGUAAUUCUGUCAGUCGAUGAGGAAAUAAUUCCAAAUUAUACUCAACUUCUGGAUGACUUUGUUGAGUCUUUCGGGCACAUUAAGGAUGCGGCUUCAAGGCUUUCAACACAUGUCAAGAAGGGAUAA
rnacentral:rRNA from 1 species